rnacentral:rRNA from 1 species
AGCCCAGCUUGCUGGGUGGAUUAGUGGCGAACGGGUGAGUAACACGUGAGUAACCUGCCCUUAACUCUGGGAUAAGCCUGGGAAACUGGGUCUAAUACCGGAUAGGAGCGNCNACCGCAUGGUGGGUGUUGGAAAGAUUUAUCGGUUUUGGAUGGACUCGCGGCCUAUCAGCUUGUUGGUGAGGUAAUGGCUCACCAAGGCGACGACGGGUAGCCGGCCUGAGAGGGUGACCGGCCACACUGGGACUGAGACACGGCCCAGACUCCUACGGGAGGCAGCAGUGGGGAAUAUUGCACAAUGGGCGNAAGCCUGAUGCAGCGACGCCGCGUGAGGGAUGACGGCCUUCGGGUUGUAAACCUCUUUCAGUAGGGAAGAAGCGAAAGUGACGGUACCUGCAGAAGAAGCACCGGCUAACUACGUGCCAGCAGCCGCGGUAAUACGUAGGGUGCGAGCGUUAUCCGGAAUUAUUGGGCGUAAAGAGCUCGUAGGCGGUUUGUCGCGUCUGUCGUGAAAGUCCGGGGCUUAACCCCGGAUCUGCGGUGGGUACGGGCAGACUAGAGUGCAGUAGGGGAGACUGGAAUUCCUGGUGUAGCGGUGGAAUGCGCAGAUAUCAGGAGGAACACCGAUGGCGAAGGCAGGUCUCUGGGCUGUAACUGACGCUGAGGAGCGAAAGCAUGGGGAGCGAACAGGAUUAGAUACCCUGGUAGUCCAUGCCGUAAACGUUGGGCACUAGGUGUGGGGACCAUUCCACGGUUUCCGCGCCGCAGCUAACGCAUUAAGUGCCCCGCCUGGGGAGUACGGCCGCAAGGCUAAAACUCAAAGGAAUUGACGGGGGCCCGCACAAGCGGCGGAGCAUGCGGAUUAAUUCGAUGCAACGCGAAGAACCUUACCAAGGCUUGACAUGUUCUCGAUCGCCGUAGAGAUACGGUUUCCCCUUUGGGGCGGGUUCACAGGUGGUGCAUGGUUGUCGUCAGCUCGUGUCGUGAGAUGUUGGGUUAAGUCCCGCAACGAGCGCAACCCUCGUUCCAUGUUGCCAGCACGUCGUGGUGGGGACUCAUGGGAGACUGCCGGGGUCAACUCGGAGGAAGGUGAGGACGACGUCAAAUCAUCAUGCCCCUUAUGUCUUGGGCUUCACGCAUGCUACAAUGGCCGGUACAAUGGGUUGCGAUACUGUGAGGUGGAGCUAAUCCCAAAAAGCCGGUCUCAGUUCGGAUUGGGGUCUGCAACUCGACCCCAUGAAGUCGGAGUCGCUAGUAAUCGCAGAUCAGCAACG